CUCACCUGUCAGCAGUGUUAACAGUGUUAGCAAUGUUUGUUUAUCACAGAGUGGAAAAAGUUCGCUGGAGAUCCCGUCAAACAGUUUGUGCGUUAACUGUGCGUCACUGACGACUCAUUUUAAACUGGAGUUACUUUAUCAACAGCCCUGCAAACUGUUGCUACUAGUGGGCGACUGAAUGUCCAGAGGACACGAAAUGAUGGAAGCAGUUGGUUAAAGGACUGAACUGCAGCAGCGAGGACGUCACACACACACGACUCAGUCUUUCACCAGGAGAAGCAGCU